GGGGUGGUGGCGCAGUUGGCUAGCGCGUAGGUCUCAUAAUCCUGAGGUCGAGAGUUCGAGCCUCUCUCACCCCACCA
rnacentral:tRNA from 1 species